rnacentral:rRNA from 1 species
GUGGGAGGCGUUGAAGCGAUGACGCUAGUUAUCGUGGAGCCGACCUUGAAAUACCACCCUGGUAUGUUUGGAGUUCUAACCUGCGCCCCUUAUCGGGGUGAGGGACAGUGUAUGGUGGGUAGUUUGACUGGGGCGGUCUCCUCCCAAAUUGUAACGGAGGAGCACGAAGGUACACUAAGUAUGGUCGGACAUCAUACGGUUAGUGCAAUGGCAAAAGUGUGCUUGACUGCGAGACAGACACGUCGAGCAGG